rnacentral:rRNA from 1 species
GUGGCAAGCGUUAUCCGGAAUUAUUGGGCGUAAAGCGUCCGCAGGCGGCCUGAAAAGUCUGCUGUUAAAGCGUGGAGCUUAACUCCAUUUCAGCAGUGGAAACUGUCAGGCUUGAGUGUGGUAGGGGCAGAGGGAAUUCCCGGUGUAGCGGUGAAAUGCGUAGAUAUCGGGAAGAACACCAGUGGCGAAAGCGCUCUGCUGGGCCAUAACUGACGCUCAUGGACGAAAGCCAGGGGAGCGAAAGGGAUUAGAUACCCCUGUAGUCCUGGCCGUAAACGAUGAACACUAGGUGUCGGGGGAAUCGACCCCCUCGGUGUCGUAGCCAACGCGUUAAGUAUCCCACCUGGGGAGUACGGUCGCAAGACUGAAACUCAAAGGAAUUGACGGGGGGCCCGCACAAGCGGUGGAGCAUGUGGUUUAAUUCGAUGCAACGCGAAGAACCUUACCAGGGUUUGACAUCCUGAGAACCUCUUAGAAAUUUGAGGGUGCCUUCGGGAAUUCAGUGACAGGUGGUGCAUGGCU